rnacentral:rRNA from 1 species
GACGAACGCUGGCGGCGUGCCUAAUACAUGCAAGUAGAACGCUGUAGGAGGAGCUUGCUUCUCCGGAUGAGUUGCGAACGGGUGAGUAACGCGUAGGUAACCUGCCUGGUAGCGGGGGAUAACUAUUGGAAACGAUAGCUAAUACCGCAUAAGAGUAGAUGUUGCAUGACAUUUGCUUAAAAGGUGCAAUUGCAUCACCACCAGAUGGACCUGCGUUGUAUUAGCUAGUUGGUGAGGUAACGGCUCACCAAGGCGACGAUACAUAGCCGACCUGAGAGGGUGAUCGGCCACACUGGGACUGAGACACGGCCCAGACUCCUACGGGAGGCAGCAGUAGGGAAUCUUCGGCAAUGGACGGAAGUCUGACCGAGCAACGCCGCGUGAGUGAAGAAGGUUUUCGGAUCGUAAAGCUCUGUUGUAAGAGAAGAACGAGUGUGAGAGUGGAAAGUUCACACUGUGACGGUAUCUUACCAGAAAGAGACGGCUAACUACGUG